rnacentral:rRNA from 1 species
UACAGCCUACGGGAGGCAGCAGUGAGGAAUAUUGGUCAAUGGGCGGAAGCCUGAACCAGCCAAGUCGCGUGAGGGAAUAAGGCCCUACGGGUCGUAAACCUCUUUUGCCGGGGAGCAAGGGCCGGGACGCGUCCCGGCCCGGAGAGUACCCGGAGAAAAAGCAUCGGCUAACUCCGUGCCAGCAGCCGCGGUAAUACGGAGGAUGCGAGCGUUAUCCGGAUUUAUUGGGUCUAAAGGGUGCGUAGGCGGGCUUUUAAGUCAGCGGUAAAAAUUCGGGGCUCAACCCCGUCCGGCCGCUGAAACUG